GACGAACGCUGGCGGCGUGCUUAACACAUGCAAGUCGAACGGAAAGGCCUCUUUCGGGGGGUACUCGAGUGGCGAACGGGUGAGUAACACGUGAGUAACCUGCCCUUGACUUUGGGAUAACUUCAGGAAACUGGGGCUAAUACCGGAUAGGAGCUCCUGCGGCAUGGUGGGGGUUGGAAAGUUUCGGCGGUUGGGGAUGGACUCGCGGCGUAUCAGCUUGUUGGUGGGGGGGUGGCUGACCAAGGCUUUGACGGGCGGCCGCCCUGAGAGGGUGACCGGCGCCGUGGGGCUUGGUGUCCGGCCCGGCGUCCACGGGGCGGCAGCGGGGGGGAAUAGUGCCACAGGGGCGGAGGCUGAAGCCGCUACCGCCGCGUGGGGAGUGACGGCUGUCGGUUGGGAGCCCGCUUUGCCCUGGACCGAGGCGUGAGUGACGGUAGUGGAUAAAGAAGCACCGGCUAGCUACGUG
rnacentral:rRNA from 1 species